rnacentral:rRNA from 1 species
UCGAUGGAGAGUUUGAUCCUGGCUCAGGACGAACGCUGGCGGCGUGCUUAACACAUGCAAGUCGAACGAGGUUCAUCCCUUCGGGGAGAAGACCUAGUGGCGAACGGGUGAGUAACACGUGAGCAACCUGCCCCGAAGACUGGGAUAACAGCGGGAAACCGCUGCUAAUACCGGAUACCCCCACCGGCCCUCAUGGGCUGAUGAGGAAAUGGAUUCCGCUUCGGGAGGGCCUCGCGGCCUAUCAGCUUGAUGGUGGGGUAACGGCCCACCAUGGCGCCGACGGGUAGCUGGUCUGAGAGGACGAUCAGCCACACUGGGACUGAGACACGGCCCAGACUCCUACGGGAGGCAGCAGUGGGGAAUCUUGCGCAAUGGGCGAA